rnacentral:tRNA from 1 species
ACCUGGGUGGCUCAGUUGGUUGGGCAUCCGACUUCAGCUCGGGUCACGAUCUCGCGGUUUGUGAGUUCAAGACCCACAUCAGGCU